CUACGGGCGGCAGCAGUGAGGAAUAUUGCACAAUGGGGGGAACCCUGAUGCAGCAACGCCGCGUGGAGGAUGACGCAUUUCGGUAUGUAAACUCCUUUUAUAUGUCAAGAAAAUGACGGUAGCAUAUGAAUAAACACCGGCUAACUCCGUGCCAGCAGCCGCGGUAAUACGGAGGGUGCAAGCGUUACUCGGAAUCACUGGGCGUAAAGGACGCGUAGGCGGGUUGGAAAGUCAGGUGUGAAAUCCUACAGCUUAACUGUAGAACUGCACUUGAAACUUCUAAUCUAGAGUAUGGGAGGGGGAGAUGGAAUUAGUGGUGUAGGGGUAAAAUCCGUAGAUAUCACUAGGAAUACCUAAAGCGAAGGCGAUCUCCUGGAACAUUACUGACGCUAAGGCGUGAAAGCGUGGGGAGCAAACAGGAUUAGAUACCCUAGUAGUC
rnacentral:rRNA from 1 species